UUUCUCAAUAAAUAUAGUGUCACGUCAGCAUUUUGCUUAUGAUAUUGUGCCAAGAUACUACCAUUACGGAAGGCCUUAGCCCAAAUCAAACCAAAACCUAGGGAUCCUCCCCUGUCCCAUCCAGCGCUGCCCUCCCCAACACAUCCAUCGCGGCAUGUUGCAGCCAGCCACCUCCUGCAUCGAGUCAUGCCUCGAUCUACGCCAGCAAGCGGUCGAGCCCGAGCUGCCCAAGCUCCUCUGCUCGCGAGGCAGGCCCGACCCUGAGUGUCUCUCUGUAGCAGCCCCCUACGCGUUAACCACCUCCAGACCGGCCCUACCUCGGCCUCCCUGUAGGCUCGCCCUGGCGGGGCACUGGAGGGCCGCUGGCUGCCACCGCCCCACGCAUUCCUUCCCCUGUGCGCCCGAGUCGCACCUCGUCAUCGCGCCCGGGCUCCGUUGUCGGCCUCAAGGUCACCUCCAGGCUCCAGCCCGUUGCACUCGUGCAUGACCACCCGAGCGGCCAUGCCCGUGCGUACUCUGUCGCGUCGUCGUUGGCGACCGCACCAGCAGGCCCGUGCGCUUCGUCCCUCUGCUCACCCGCGUCGAGCGCCUCGACCUUCUCCUCAGCCGGCGCCAAAGCCGUCGGACCGCACCAGCAGCAACCCCUUGCUCUCCCUCUCCUCUCUGCUUGACCAGGAGAUCGCCGCCAUGGAGUCACAGUCCUCGCCCCAAGGUGCCUCAUCGUCGGGAAUCGGUUCCAGGAGCCCAGAUCCGCCCGUCCAUGCACUGGAUCUAGUUCGUCUUGCCCUCGCCGUUCGGAUACUGCACCGCCUCUGGCCUUCUGCUCGGGGAAGACGAGCGAGGCCCUGCGCGCUCCUCUCUUCUCCCGCAUCCGGUUUUGACCGCCAGACCGAGCAGCGCGGUCACUCACGUGGGCUACUACGCCAAGGCCGUCUCGCGAUGCGCCAGACCAGCAGACCGUCGGCCUCUCCGAGCAUCAGCCAAGGUCCAAGCCACGCAUGGCCUUCUCAUCGGUCGAAGCCGCCGCCUCGCAUGUUUCGUUGUCGUACUCCUGCCUCCUCUCCAUGUUGUGCCCGCGCCUGCCGAGAACAACUACCGUCGACCUCCGAAGAUCGUGGAUUCGCCAAGCACCUCUCCAACCAUGUACGACUACUUCCUCGAUGACACGUGUACCGCUACUUUCACGAUGUCCAUGACAACCCAUGUAAAACGACGCCGCUACGACUCGAUCCGCUCCGAAGAUGCACGCUUUGAAGAUCAUGUUAUUGAUGAAGAAAUUGGACCAGAAGCUUUUGAAGACCUCGAAGACUUUGCUGAGCUAGACAAGCAUCCCUUUGACCAUGUUGAUGAACCCAUUUCAUGCAUGUCAUUAUAGCACUUUUAUUCGUUGCAUUGAAAAGCAUGAUGAUGUGGUGACAACCUUGCUAGGUUUGUCUCCUUUGUA